GACGAACGCUGGCGGCGUGCUUAACACAUGCAAGUCGAACGGUAAGGCCCUUCGGGGUACCCGAGUGGCGAACGGGUGAGUAACACGUGGGUAAUCUGCCCUGCACAUCGGGAUAAGCCUGGGAAACUGGGUCUAAUACCGAAUAGGACCACAGGACACAUGUCCUGUGGUGGAAAGCUUUUGCGGUGUGGGAUGGGCCCGCGGCCUAUCAGCUUGUUGGUGGGGUGAUGGCCUACCAAGGCGACGACGGGUAGCCGGCCUGAGCGGGUGUCCGGCCACACUGGGACUGAGAUACGGCCGAGACUCCUACGGGAGGCAGCAGUGGGGAAGAUUGCACAAUGGGCGAAAGCCUGAUGCAGCGACGCCGCGUGGGGGAUGACGGCCUUCGGGUUGUAAACCUCUUUCACCAGCGACGAAGGUCCGGGUUUUCUCGGGCUGACGGUAGGUGGAGAAGAAGCACCGGCCAACUACGUG
rnacentral:rRNA from 1 species